GUAUUCUAUAGUAGAAGGGUUCAUCCCCACCAUCCAAACCGUGGGUUUGGUACUCACUGAGUCGCCGCUACCAUGGGCUGAAAGAAUCGGUGGAGAUGCCGAUAAUGGGUCUGCUUUCCUCUGCCUGUCCGAUUCUAUAAAGAUUCUGCAGGACUGUUUUUGAGAAUGAGGAGAUGCCCUUUGAAGUUCCAAGGGAUUUGAUCCAGAAUUCUCUUUUUGUCCCUAGCAUUUUGGAAUGUAAAUAGAAAAAGAUUUGCCUCAA